rnacentral:rRNA from 1 species
AACGAACGCUGGCGGCAGGCUUAACACAUGCAAGUCGAGCGCUUCACCUUCGGGUGGGAGCGGCAGACGGGUGAGUAACGCGUGGGAACGUACCCUUCAGUUCGGGAUAACCCAGGGAAACUUGGGCUAAUACCGGAUACGUCCGUAAGGAGAAAGAUUUAUUGCUGAAGGAUCGGCCCGCGUCGGAUUAGCUAGUUGGUGGGUAACGGCCCACCAAGGCGACGAUCCGUAGCUGGUCUGAGAGGAUGAUCAGCCACACUGGGACUGAGACACGGCCCAGACUCCUACGGAGGCAGCAGUAAGGAAUAUUGGACAAUGGGCGCAAGCCUGAUCCAGCCAUGCCGCGUGCAGGAUGAAGGUGCUCUGCAUUGUAAACUGCUUUUGUUUGGGAAUAAACCCUUCUACGUGUAGAGGGCUGAAUGU